rnacentral:rRNA from 1 species
UCAGCUCGUGUCGUGAGAUGUUGGGUUAAGUCCCGCAACGAGCGCAACCCUUGUCACUAGUUGCCAUCAUUUGGUUGGGCACGUCUAGUGAGACUGCCGGUGACAAACCGGAGGGAAGGUGGGGAUGACGUCAAGUCCUCAUGGCCCUUAUGGUAGGGCUUCACACGUCAUACAAUGGUCGGUACAGAGGGUUGCCAAGCCGCGAGGUGGAGCCAAUCCCUUAAAGCCGAUCGUAGUCCGGAUCGUAGUCUGCAACUCGACUACGUGAAGUCGGAAUCGCUAGUAAUCGCAGAUCAGCAUGCUGCGGUGAAUACGUUCCCGGGUCUU